CCGCGGUAAACGUAGGGACAAGCCGUAUCCGGAUUACUUGGGCGUAAGAGCCUUGGGCGGUUCCGUAAGUGGGCCUUAAGCCCCGGGCUCAACUCGCGGAGCUCGUUCAAUACUGCGGAACUUGAAGGCAACAGAGGGAGUCGGAAUUCCCGGUGUACCGGUGAAAUGCGUAGAUAUCGGGAGGGACACCAGUGCCGAAGGCGGCCUCCCUGGNCUGCUCCUGACGCUGAAGGCGAAAGCUAGGGGAGCGAACGGGAUUAGAAACCCCGGUAGUCCUAGCCGUAAACGAUGGAUGCUGGUUCUGGGGGGUAUAGAUUCCCUCCGUGCCGAAAGCUAACGCGUUAAGCAUCCCGCCUGGGGACUACGGCCGCAAGGCUAAAACUCAAACGAAUUGACGGGUCCCCGCACAAGCAGCGGAGCGUGUGGUUUAAUUCGAUGCUACACGAAGAACCUUACCUGGGUUUGACAUGCAAGUAGUAGUGAAGCGAAAGCGGAACGACCCUUCGGGGAGCUUGCACAGGUGCUGCAUGGCUGUCGUCAGCUCGUGCCGUGAGGUGUCGGGUUAAGUCCCGUAACGAGCGCAACCCUUGCCCUUAGUUAUACGUGUCUAAGGGGACUGCCCGGGACAACUGGGAGGAAGGUGGGGAUGACGUCAAGUCAGCAUGGCCUUUAUAUCCAGGGCGACACACACGCUACAAUGGCCGGUACAAUGGGUUGCCAAGCCGUGAGGCGGAGCCAAUCCCGCAAAGCCGGUCUAAGUUCGGAUUGUGGGCUGCAACUCGCCCACAUGAAGCUGGAGUUGCUAGUAACCGCGCGUCAGCCAUAGUGCGGUGAUACGUUCCCGGGGAUUGUACACACCGCCCGUCACGUCAUGGAAGCUGGCAACACNCUAAAGCCUGGUAUGCUAACCCGAAAGGGAAGCCGCCGUCUAAGGUGGGG
rnacentral:rRNA from 1 species